ensembl:snRNA U6 U6 spliceosomal RNA
AUUUUGAUUUGAUAGAUAAUAUUCAAUUAGUAUUUACCAUUACUGCUAAUGGUUAGCAUGGCCCCUGCGCAAGGAUGACGCGCAAAUUCGUGAAGCGUUCCCUAUUUUU